rnacentral:lncRNA from 1 species
CGGGUCAGCGUCGGCAUCCUGUUGGUAAGGUUGUAAGCUCUGCCUUGGAUAGGAGGCCUCCUUUGAUUCUGGUUCCUCGGGCAUUCUCUGGCAUAAUGCUGGGCACUGCCACAAAUGCGAUAAGUGUUGUUGAGGCGGUAGCAGGGUCAGUCUCCCUGAUCUCUGUUGCAGUGUUGACAGAUUUUCCCACGUGCUGCCCCUGGAGCCUGAGGAGGGGCCUGGAUGGCUGGUCUGGGCCUCUUAUUUGGCUGGGCAGGCGCGGUAGGUGCUGGCCUGCGGAACGGAGCUGAGGGUCGAGAACUCCCUCCUGGCUGAGGACGGGUGUUGAAGCUUCUUUCCACGAUCUGUACCUUUGCUAGGAUUGCUGAAUAUGUCUUGAGCUCCAGUACUAACAAGUGUUGCCUGAUCUCUGGGCGGAGACCCGACUGGAAUCUCCUGGCCUUUCGGUCCUCAUCCAUCAAUGUCUCUGGGGAGUAUCAGCCCAGCUCGAGGAACU